rnacentral:misc_RNA from 1 species
CAGCCGCGUAAUUCCAGCUCCAAUAGCGUAUAUUAAAGUUGUUGCAGUUAAAAAGCUCGUAGUUGAACCUCGGGGUCUACCCAUUGGUCAGGCUUAAUUGUCUGCACUGGUGAGAUCGAUCUCUACCUUCUGAGGAACUUUCAUGCCAUUUAUUUGGUGUGAUGGGAAAUCAGGACUGUUACUUUGAAAAAAUUAGAGUGUUUAAAGCAGACUAUCGUCUGAAUACAUUAGCAUGGAAUAAUGAAAUAGGACGGACUGAUUCUAUUUCGUUGGUUUCUAGGAUCACCGUAAUGAUUAAUAGGGAUAGUUGGGGGCAUUAGUAUUCAAUUGUCAGAGGUGAAAUUCUUGGAUUUAUUGAAGACUAACUACUGCGAAAGCAUUUGCCAAGGAUGUUUUCAUUAAUCAAGAACGAAAGUUAGGGGAUCGAAGACGAUCAGAUACCGUCGUAGUCUUAACCAUAAACUAUGCCGACUAGGGAUCGGACGAAGUUAAUUUUAUAAUGACGCGUUCGGCACCUUACG